rnacentral:rRNA from 1 species
GUGGCGGACGGGUGAGUAACACGUGGGAACGUGCCCUUUGGUUCGGAACAACUCAGGGAAACUUGAGCUAAUACCGGAUGUGCCCUUCGGGGGAAAGAUUUAUCGCCAUUGGAGCGGCCCGCGUCUGAUUAGCUAGUUGGUGAGGUAAAGGCUCACCAAGGCGACGAUCAGUAGCUGGUCUGAGAGGAUGAUCAGCCACAUUGGGACUGAGACACGGCCCAAACUCCUACGGGAGGCAGCAGUGGGGAAUCUUGCGCAAUGGGCGAAAGCCUGACGCAGCCAUGCCGCGUGAAUGAUGAAGGUCUUAGGAUUGUAAAAUUCUUUCACCGGGGACGAUAAUGACGGUACCCGGAGAAGAAGCCCCGGCUAACUUCGUGCCAGCAGCCGCGGUAAUACGAAGGGGGCUAGCGUUGCUCGGAAUUACUGGGCGUAAAGGGAGCGUAGGCGGACUGUUUAGUCAGAGGUGAAAGCCCAGGGCUCAACCUUGGAAUUGCCUUUGAUACUGGCAGUCUUGAGUACGGAAGAGGUAUGUGGAACUCCGAGUGUAGAGGUGAAAUUCGUAGAUAUUCGGAAGAACACCAGUGGCGAAGGCGACAUACUGGUCCGUUACUGACGCUGAGGCUCGAAAGCGUGGGGAGCAAACAGGAUUAGAUACCCUGGUAGUCCAC